GACGAACGCUGGCGGCGCGCCUAACACAUGCAAGUCGAACGAAGAAAGCGAUAGUUUACUAGAGCUUUCUUAGUGGCGGACGGGUGAGUAACACGUGAAGAACCUGCCUUACAGAGGGGGACAACAGUUGGAAACGACUGCUAAUACCGCAUAAGCGCACAGGGCCGCAUGGCCCGGUGUGAAAAAUUCCGGUGGUAUAAGAUGGACCCGCGUCUGAUUAGCUGGUUGGUGGGGUAAUGGCCCACCAAGGCGACGAUCAGUAGCCGGCCUGAGAGGGUGAACGGCCACAUUGGGACUGAGACACGGCCCAG
rnacentral:rRNA from 1 species